rnacentral:rRNA from 1 species
UACGGAAGGCAGCAGUGGGGAAUAUUGCACAAUGGGCGAAAGCCUGAUGCAGCUAUGCCGCGUGUAUGAAGAAGGCCUUAGGGUUGUAAAGUACUUUCAUCGGGGAGGAAAAACAAAACUAAUAAUUUUAUUUCUUGACGUUACCCGAAAAAGAAGCACCGGCUAACUCCGUGCCAGCAGCCGCGGUAAUACGGAGGGUGCUAGCGUUAAUCAGAAUUACUGGGCGUAAAGAGCACGUAGGUGGUUUUUUUAAGUCAGAUGUGAAAUCCCUGGGCUUAACCUAGGAACUGCAUUUUGAAACUGAAAUACUAGAGUAUCGUAGAGGGAGGUAGAAUUCUAGGUGUAGCGGUGAAAUGCGUAGAUAUCUGGAGGAAUACCUGUGGCGAAAGCGGCCUCCUAAACGAAUACUGACACUGAGGUGCGAAAGCGUGGGGAGCAAACAGGGAUUAGC